rnacentral:tRNA from 1 species
ACCGACUUAGCUCAGCAGGUAGAGCAACUGACUUGUAAUCAGUAGGUCACCAGUUCGAUUCCCGGUAGUCGC